CCUGCUGGCUCCGCACCACACCUGGACCACAUCACUCCAGGCUCUCCCGACUAAGGACAGAGACCUACAGCAGAUUCCUAAGUGUGUCCGGUGACGGCAACCAACUUUUGAUGAGCAUCACUACGACGCUGUCAGGUUUCUGCAAGAAAAUUACAGCAGAGGGCGCACUAACACCAGGUCAGCUUAUAGCACGGUAAAAGGUGGACAUGAGGUUCCUUAAUUCCAGUGAACAGACAUGCACGUGUCUUCUUCCCCAGCUCAUGUGUUGCUACGUGUCUCAGCAGGGACCCCUUGUGUUCCCCCAGCCUAUAACACCAGGAUUCGCUGGCUUUCAGCUGGAUAUACAUGUGUGCAAUCUGGCAUGGGCUAGUCAUGCAAAAUCUCGAUGGAAACCAACUCAGGUGUCUGGGUGCCCAGAGUAAUUAUUUGGAUCACAUCAAAUCUGACAUAAUGGGGUUUAGAAUGAAAUGUGUAAGGGUUAUUGAUUUACUCUUUAAUUUUUAUUCUACAGCCAUAUACUGUACAACUAAAUGCCUGCAGUCUUAAGUCUUACAUAGAUUCGUCGUUUGUUUUCCGAUUACAUUUUUAUCAGCAAGUUUGGAAAUGUGGGCAGUUCACCUUUGCAGACACAACUCACUCACUGUAUAGGGUUUUCUGUUAUUGUAGGAGUGGGAUAGCUGAACACACCAGCCUUAAAAAUCCGAAUGCCUUCUUGUUUACGUACCAAUCACAUCCAGCUCAAUAGCAACACAUUAUCUUGCGAUUUGAAUGUGCCAUUCAUAUGUGUUUUGUCCACUUCAUAUACUGUGAAAUUAAAAUCAUAAUUACAUCAA